AGUGAACGCUGGCGGCAGGCCUAAUACAUGCAAGUCGAACGGCAGCACAGCAGAGCUUGCUCUGUGGGUGGCGAGUGGCGGACGGGUGAGGAAUACAUGGGAAUCUGCCCAGUCGUGGGGGAUAACGUAUGGAAACGUACGCUAAUACCGCAUGCGCCCUAAGGGGGAAAGCCGGGGACCGCAAGGCCUGGCGCGAUUGGAUGAGCCCAUGUUCGAUUAGCUAGUUGGCGGGGUAAAGGCCCACCAAGGCGACGAUCGAUAGCUGGUCUGAGAGGAUGAUCAGCCACACUGGAACUGAGACACGGUCCAGACUCCUACGGGAGGCAGCAGUAGGGAAUAUUGGACAAUGGGGGCAACCCUGAUCCAGCCAUGCCGCGUGAGUGAAGAAGGCCCUCGGGUUGUAAAGCUCUUUUGUCCGGAAAGAAAAGCAAUCGGUUAAUACCCGGUUGUCCUGACGGUACCGGAAGAAUAAGCACCGGCUAACUACGUGCC
rnacentral:rRNA from 1 species